UACAUGUAAAAUUGAGAAUGGAAAUGGGGAAUGUGUCAAAGAGACAACAACCCGACCAAAUAAAAAACAACAGCAGAAGGUCACCUACAGGUCUUCAAUGUAGCGAGAAAUUCCCGCACCCGGAGGCGUCCUUCAGCUGGCCCCUAAACAAAUAUAUACUAGUUCAGUAAUAAUGAACGCCAUACUAAUUUCCAAAUUGUACACAAG
rnacentral:lncRNA from 1 species